rfam:Ictidomys tridecemlineatus contig029714, whole genome shotgun sequence.
UGUGGCUCAGUGGUAGAGCACUUGCCUAGCAUGUGUGAGGCACUGGGUUCAAUUCUCAGCA